AUUGAACGCUGGCGGCAUGCUUUACACAUGCAAGUCGAACGGCAGCGCGGGGGCAACCCUGGCGGCGAGUGGCGAACGGGUGAGUAAUGCAUCGGAACGUAUCCUGUAAUGGGGGAUAACUAAUCGAAAGAUUAGCUAAUACCGCAUACGCUCGGGAGAGGAAAGUGGGGGAUCGCAAGACCUCACGUUAUAGGAGCGGCCGAUGUCUGAUUAGCUAGUUGGUGAGGUAAAGGCUCACCAAGGCGACGAUCAGUAGCUGGUCUUAGAGGAUGAUCAGCCACACUGGGACUGAGACACGGCCCAGACUCCUACGGGAGGCAGCAGUGGGGAAUUUUGGACAAUGGGGGCAACCCUGAUCCAGCCAUGCCGCGUGCGGGAAGAAGGCCUUCGGGUUGUAAACCGCUUUAGUCUAGGAAAAAGGAAUGCAGGAUUAAUACCCUUGUGUUUUGAUGGUACUGGAAGAAUAAGCACCGGCUAACUACGUGCCAGCCGCCGCGGUAA
rnacentral:rRNA from 1 species